rnacentral:rRNA from 1 species
AUUGAACGCUGGCGGCAGGCCUAACACAUGCAAGUCGAGCGGAUGAGUGGAGCUUGCUCCAUGAUUCAGCGGCGGACGGGUGAGUAAUGCCUAGGAAUCUGCCUGGUAGUGGGGGACAACGUUUCGAAAGGAACGCUAAUACCGCAUACGUCCUACGAGAGAAAGCAGGGGACCUUCGGGCCUUGCGCUAUCAGAUGGGCCUAGGUCGGAUUAGCUAGUAGGUGAGGUCAAGGCUCACCUAGGCGACGAUCCGUAACUGGUCUGAGAGGAUGAACAGUCACACUGGAACUGAGACACGGUCCAGACUCCUACGGGAGGCAGCAGUGGGGAAUAUUGGACAAUGGGCGAAAGCCUGAUCCAGCCAUGCCGCGUGUGUGAAGAAGGUCUUCGGAUUGUAAAGCACUUUAAGUUGGGAGGAAGGGCAGUAAGUUAAUACCUUGCUGUUUUGAUGUUACCAACAGAAUAAGCACCGGCUAACUUCGUGCCAGCCGCCGCCGUAA